rnacentral:rRNA from 1 species
UGCUCAGGAUGAACGCUGGCGGCGUGCCUAAUACAUGCAAGUCGAGCGAACGGACGAGAAGCUUGCUUCUCUGAUGUUAGCGGCGGACGGGUGAGUAACACGUGGAUAACCUACCUAUAAGACUGGGAUAACUUCGGGAAACCGGAGCUAAUACCGGAUAAUAUUUUGAACCGCAUGGUUCAAAAGUGAAAGACGGUCUUGCUGUCACUUAUAGAUGGAUCCGCGCUGCAUUAGCUAGUUGGUAAGGUAACGGCUUACCAAGGCAACGAUGCAUAGCCGACCUGAGAGGGUGAUCGGCCACACUGGAACUGAGACACGGUCCAGACUCCUACGGGAGGCAGCAGUAGGGAAUCUUCCGCAAUGGGCGAAAGCCUGACGGAGCAACGCCGCGUGAGUGAUGAAGGUCUUCGGAUCGUAAAACUCUGUUAUUAGGGAAGAACAUAUGUGUAAGUAACUGUGCACAUCUUGACGGUACCUAAUCAGAAAGCCACGGCUAACUACGUGCCAGCAGCCGCGGUAAUACGUAGGUGGCAAGCGUUAUCCGGAAUUAUUGGGCGUAAAGCGCGCGUAGGCGGUUUUUUAAGUCUGAUGUGAAAGCCCACGGCUCAACCGUGGAGGGUCAUUGGAAACUGGAAAACUUGAGUGCAGAAGAGGAAAGUGGAAUUCCAUGUGUAGCGGUGAAAUGCGCAGAGAUAUGGAGGAACACCAGUGGCGAAGGCGACUUUCUGGUCUGUAACUGACGCUGA